rnacentral:rRNA from 1 species
GUAGGUGGCAAGCGUUGUCCGGGAAUUAUUGGGGCGUAAAGCGCGCGCAGGCGGUUCUUUAAGUCUGAUGUGAAAGCCCACGGGCUCAACCGUGGAGGGUCAUUGGAAACUGGAGAACUUGAGUACAGAAGAGGAAAGCGGAAUUCCACGUGUAGCGGUGAAAUGCGUAGAGAUGUGGAGGAACACCAGUGGCGAAGGCGGCUUUCUGGUCUGUAACUGACGCUGAGGCGCGAAAGCGCGGGGAGCAAACAGGAUUAGAUACCCUGGUAGUCCACGCCGUAAACGAUGAGUGCUAAGUGUUAGGGGGUUUCCGCCCCUUAGUGCUGCAGCUAACGCAUUAAGCACUCCGCCUGGGGAGUACGGCCGCAAAGGCUGA